CUGGUAGUAUGUGCCUGGCCUGGGCCGCAAGGUUUCAAGUGCCGGUUGCGCGUCUAUCAUCCUGCUCGACGGAGGUCAGCCGUUAAACGUUGGCGCCGCUGAGUUCUUUUACUUUGAAAAAAUUAGAGUGUUUAAAGCAGGCUUAUGCCUUGAAUACAUUAGCAUGGAAUAAUAAUAUAGGACUUGGUUUCUAUUUUAUUGGCUAGAAAUUAAGUAAUGAUUGAUAGGGAUAGUUGGGGGUGCUAGUAUUCAGCGGCCAGAGGUGAAAUUCUUUGAUUCGCUGAAGACUAACUUAUGCGAAAGCAUUC
rnacentral:rRNA from 1 species